GACGAACGCUGGCGGCGUGCUUAACACAUGCAAGUCAAACGGAAAGGCCCCUUUGGGGGUACUCGAGUGGCGAACGGGUGAGUAACACGUGAGUAACCUGCCCUUGACUUCGGGAUAACUUCAGGAAACUGGGGCUAAUACCGGAUAGGAAUCCUUGCUGCAUGGUGGGGGUUGGAAAGCUUCGGCGGUUUUGGAUGGACUCGCGGCUUAUCAGCUUGUUGGUGGGGUAGUGGCUUACCAAGGCUUUGACGGGUAGCCGGCCUGAGAGGGCGACCGGCCACAUUGAGACUGAGAUACGGCCCAGACUCCGACGGGAGGCAGCAGUGGGGAAUAUUGCACAAUGGGCGGAAGCCUGAUGCAGCAACGCCGCGUGCGGGAUGACGGCCUUCGGGUUGUAAACCGCUUUCAGCAGGGGCGAAGCUUGUGGUGACGGUACCUGCAGAAGAAGCACCGGCUAACUACGUG
rnacentral:rRNA from 1 species